rnacentral:lncRNA from 1 species
GUGGAGUUUAUUUAUGAUCUCUAUAGCUAAACCACAGCUGACCAUGAUCUCAUACACAGCUGGCCACGAUCUCAUAUACAGCUGGCAGAUACAGCUAAGUAUGACCUCACUUCUGGCUAAUACAUAUAGCUAUACUCGAGCAAACUUACAGCUGGCUAUAACCACCUAACAAACUCCUCUAACGGCCUAACAAACUCUGUAACAGCCUCAUCAGCUCCUUUAUAAAUAGAGGGCCAG